rnacentral:misc_RNA from 1 species
GAUGAAGAACGCAGCGAAAUGCGAUAAGUAGUGUGAAUUGCAGAAUUCAGUGAAUCAUCGAAUCUUUGAACGCACAUUGCGCCCCUUGGUAUUCCUUGGGGCAUGCCUGUUCGAGCGUCAUUUGUACCUUCAAGCUCUGCUUGGUGUUGGGUGUUUGUCUCGCCUCUGCGUGUAGACUCGCCUCAAAACAAUUGGCAGCCGGCGUAUUGAUUUCGGAGCGCAGUACAUCUCGCGCUUUGCACUCAUAACGACGACGUCCAAAAGUACAUUUUUACACUCUCGACCUCGGAUCAGGUAGGGAUACCCGCUGAACUUAAGCAUAUCAAUAAGCGGAGGA